rnacentral:rRNA from 1 species
AUUGAACGCUGGCGGCAUGCCUUACACAUGCAAGUCGAACGGUAACAGGUCUUCGGACGCUGACGAGUGGCGAACGGGUGAGUAAUACGUCGGAACGUGCCUAGUAGUGGGGGAUAACUACUCGAAAGAGAGGCUAAUACCGCAUGAGAUCUACGGAUGAAAGCAGGGGAUCGCAAGACCUUGUGCUACUAGAGCGGCCGAUGGCAGAUUAGGUAGUUGGUGGGAUAAAAGCUUACCAAGCCGACGAUCUGUAGCUGGUCUGAGAGGACGAUCAGCCACACUGGGACUGCGAGACGGCCCAGACUCCUACGGGAGGCAGCAGUGGGGAAUUUUGGACAAUGGGCGAAAGCCUGAUCCAGCAAUGCCGCGUGCAGGGUGAAGGCCUUCGGGUUGUAAACUGCUUUUGUACGGAACGAAAAGCCCUGGGUUAAUACCCUGGGGUCAUGACGGUACCGUAAGAAUAAGCACCGGCUAACUACGUGCCAGCCGCCGCAGUAACAC